GGUCCUGACAGUGUAUGUUUGGUGUUUGUUGUUGUCAAAUCAGGAGUGGAAAAGAGAAAACUCUACCUAGGCGUUAACUGUGAACAUAUCGCAUGAGACAGAAUGGGCAGGAAGUGAUUGUUGGGAUCUGGAGUUCUGCCACCUUUCUCCAGCAGAGGGCGUCCUGGGUCUCCUGAGCUGAGUCACCUGCACACCUGAGGCUCAUCCUCUCAUCAGGAGACCAACUACUUAAGCAGCGGCCAGACCUGUCUUCAGUGCCAGAGUGUUGCCAGUUAUGGCCUUCCUGCCUGCCCUGACAGCCAAACCUGAAGAACCUCAAGCUGAGUUUGUUCCUGUUCUCAGGAGAGAACCUUGGCUGAUAACUGAAAGUCUGAACUCAGGUCUGUAGUCAAGCUCUGCCGCUGCUAGCUCUCUGCAGAACCCUCAAGCUCUGGACCCAACUGGUUCCCUCUCUCACUGCGUCAGUCUGAAUCUCUCCAGAGAAACCCUUUUGAAGUCAUUCCAGACCAGAAUCAGUAUUUGAUAUUGUUUUGUGCUUUUCAAAUAAACUGUUGAACAACACAGAGGAAGCUGAAUAUGUGACAAUGGAGGCAGUUAAGCUUAUGCUGGAGCAACAAAAGGAUCAUUAUGAGGAGCUGUUGAAGAGGCAGGAGAAGGCCUUCAGUGGCUUUUGUCAAAUGAUCCUGGACUCUGUGAACAAAAGGGUGGAUUCACUUGUGGGAGAGGUGCAGGAAAUAAAGUGAGUUUAAACUACUCACAGAAAGACAUUGAUGACGUAAAAAAGCAAACACAAAUUCAAAAGACUGAUUUGGAAGUAGUGAACAAGGAGCUGAAGAGUUUUAAGUCUGAAAUGUCUGUCAAGGCCUAUGAUGAAAAAAUAGACUACUUGGAGAAUCAGUCUAGGAGAAACAACAUUGUGAUCACAGGACUGGGUCCAGAUAAGCCUGAAGAGACCUGGGAGGACACUGAAAUCAAAGUCAAAAAGUUAUUCACUGAACAACUGAAAAUGGAGGCCCCAGUAGAGAUUGAGCGUGCUCACAGAAAUGGAAGGUUCAGGGGUGAAAAUGAUAGACCCAGAUCCAUAGCGGUAAAUCUGCUGCGCUUUAAAGACAAACAGCUGAUCAUGGCGCGAGCAAGAGCCCAGCUGAAAAACUCCUCCAUAUACAUUAAUGAGGACUUUUCAGAGAGAGUGAGGAAGAAGACAGCAGAGUUGUUACCUGCUCUAAGAGAGGCAAGAGCGAGAGGUGACUAUGCAGUCAUCAGUUAUGAUCGCUUGAUUGUUAAACCCAAAAGCAGGGAUUGAAGGUGGAAACAUGCAAUAUGAUGGCAUCACAUUGUUAAAUAUGCUAUAAUGUACCUCAAACAAACUCAUGGAUCUAAAUCUACCUAAAAAAGGUGUGAGAAUUGCUCAUAUUAAUGUAAGGAGCUUAAGAAACAAAGUACAUGAAUUAUACAGUUAUGUUCAAAAGGAAAGAAUAAAUAUUAUGGCUGUAUCGGAGACCCAUUUGGAUCAGACAAUUGUUGAUAAUUGUGUGGCUAUAUCUGACUACAAUAUUUAUAGAUGUGAUCGAAAUCUCUUCGGAGGUGGAGUUGCUUUUUACAUACAAAGCCAAAUCCCUGCUAAGAUUAGGACGGACCUAAUGGUUCCUACGGUUGAAUGUUUAUGCUUAGAAGUAAAUAUUCCUUUUUGUCGACCAAUUAUUGUUGGAUGCAUCUAUAGGCCGCCAAAUUCGAGUGCACUGUAUGUUGAUGAAAUGUGCUCUAUUCUGUAAAACAUGUCUAAUUUGGGUUAUGAGAUGUAUGUGUUGGCAGAUUGUAAUAUUGACUGGCUCUCUAAAACUUGUCAUCUUAAGAAAAAGCUAAAAAGCACAUUAAGAAUCUGUAAUCUUAAACAGAUUGUCAAACAACCAACUAGAAUAUUCUGUAAUGAAUCUGGGCAUAUGUCCUCAACAUGCAUUGAUCACAUAUUCACAAACCAUAGCUCUAGUUGCUCUCAGGUAGUUUCUUUUCCAGUUGGUUUUUCAGAUCACAAUAUAGUGGCUUUAGCCAGAAAAUGUAAAGCGCCAAAAAGUGGGCCAAAAAUAAUACUUAGAAGAAGUUAUAAAAAUUUUAAGGUGGAGGAAUUAAUCAGUGAUUUGGAGGAGAUAGAUUGGAGCCUUGUGCUAUGUACAAAAGAUGUGGAUUUUGCAGUGAUUUGUUUCUCUCAGUAGUAAGUAAGCAUGCACCACUUAAAAGGCUUACAGUAAGAGCAAACAAAGCCCCAUGGAUUGAUGAUGAGCUUAGACAGAGCAUGGCACAUAGAGACUCCCUGAAAAAAGAAGCCUGUGUUUUAGGCAAAGUGGCAUUUCCUGUGAAAUGGGAAGCUUAUUGUAAAGAGAGAAAUAAAGUGACUAUGCUCAAUAGAAAGAAAAAAAGGGAUUAUUAUAGAAAGUCGAUAGAUCAAAAGAAAAAUGAUGGUAAACAACUGUGGAAUACCUUGAAUGAAUUAAUGGGCAGAAGCAAAAUUAAGACACCAGCAUUUUUAGAAGUGAAUGGACUUUUUUUUUAAAAGGUAAAGAUAUUGCAGACCAUUUUGGUAAAUAUUAUUAUGAUAAAAUAUAUAAGUUAAUGAAUGACACAAAGUGUUACAGCAAUCUGGGCACUUCAUCUCAAAUAAUCAAUGAUUUGAUUGUUAAGAAUAAAAACUGUCAUUUCACAUUUAAAUUGUUAAGCACAGAUAAAGUUAAAAGUUUGCUUCUAAGUUUACAUGAAAACAAACCAUCAGGAAUGGAUGAGAUUGAUGGCAGAUUACUGAAAAUGGCUGCAAGUGUGAUAGCUUCACCAGUCUGCCAUUUGUUUAAUCUAAGCUUGACAGAAGGGGUCUUCCCUCAAAUGUGGAAAUCUGCUAAAAUACUUCCUCUUUCAAAAACUACCAAUGUUAGCCUCUCUGCAGUCAAUAGUAGGCCCAUUAGUAUUCUGCCUAUACUUAGUAAAUUGCUGGAAAAGGUUGUUUUUGGACAGAUUUCAACAUAUUUAAACUGUAACAAAUUGAUUUUUGAAUCACAGCAUGCAUAUAGGGAAAAUCACUCGACAUGUACAGCCCUUACAGAAAUGACGGAGAAUUGGUUGUCUAGCAUAGACAAAAAACUGAUAGUUGGUGCAGUGUUUUUGGAUUUUAGUGCUGCAUUUGAUUUAG